rnacentral:rRNA from 1 species
UACAGAGGGUGCGAGCGUUGUCCGGAAUCACUGGGCGUAAAGGGCGCGUAGGCGGCCUGGUAAGCGUGCGGUGAAAGCCCGGGGCUCAACCCCGGGUCGGCCGUGCGAACUGCGAGGCUGGAGCACGGUAGAGGCAGGUGGAAUUCCGGGUGUAGCGGUGGAAUGCGUAGAGAUCCGGAAGAACACCGGUGGCGAAGGCGGCCUGCUGGGCAGUGGCUGACGCUGAGGCGCGACAGCGUGGGUAGCAAACAGG